GAUGAACGCUGGCGGCGUGCCUAAUACAUGCAAGUCGAGCGAACGGACGAGAAGCUUGCUUUUCUGAUGUUAGCGGCGGACGGGUGAGUAACACGUGGAUAACCUACCUAUAAGACUGGGAUAACUUCGGGAAACCGGAGCUAAUACCGGAUAAUAUCUUGAACCGCAUGGUUCAAAAGUGAAAGACGGUCUUGCUGUCACUUAUAGAUGGAUCCGCGCUGCAUUAGCUAGUUGGUAAGGUAACGGCUUACCAAGGCAACGAUGCAUAGCCGACCUGAGAGGGUGAUCGGCCACACUGGAACUGAGACACGGUCCAGACUCCUACGGGAGGCAGCAGUAGGGAAUCUUCCGCAAUGGGCGAAAGCCUGACGGAGCAACGCCGCGUGAGUGAUGAAGGUCUUCGGACCGUAAAACUCUGUUAUUAGGGAAGAACAUAUGUGUAAGUAACUGUGCACAUCUUGACGGUACCUAAUCAGAAAGCCACGGCUAACUACGUG
rnacentral:rRNA from 1 species